ACGAACGCUGGCGGCAGGCUUAACACAUGCAAGUCGAACGCCCCGCAAGGGGAGUGGCAGGCGGGUGAGUAACGCGUGGGAACAUGCCCAAAGGUACGGAACAACUCCGGGAAACUGGAGCUAAUACCGUAUGUGCCCGAAAGGGGAAAGAUUUAUCGCCUUUGGAUUGGCCCGCGUCGGAUUAGCUAGUUGGUGGGGUAAAAGCCUACCAAGGCGACGAUCCGUAGCUGGUCUGAGAGGACGACCAGCCACACUGGGACGGAGACACGGCCCAGACUCCUACGGGAGGCAGCAGUGGGGAAUCUUGGACAAUGGGCGCAAGCCUGAUCCAGCCAUGCCGCGUGGAUGAUGAAGGCCUUAGGGUUGUAAAAUCCUUUCGCCGAGGACGAUAAUGACGGUACUCGGAGAAGAAGCUCCGGCUAACUUCGU
rnacentral:rRNA from 1 species